UACGAAGGGGGCUAGCGUUGUUCGGAAUUACUGGGCGUAAAGGGCGCGUAGGCUGUGCUGUAAGUCAGGCGUGAAAGCCCCGGGCUCAACCUGGGAAUUGCGCUUGAUACUGCGGCGCUGGAAGGUGGGAGAGGAUGGCGGAAUUCCCAGUGUAGAGGUGAAAUUCGUAGAUAUUGGGAAGAACACCGGUGGCGAAGGCGGCCAUCUGGCCCAUUUUUGACGCUGAGGCGC
rnacentral:rRNA from 1 species